CGUUGGCGGCACCCGGCCACUCCCUCGACCUCCCACGCACUGCAGGCAAGUUGCGGCGCUCUCCCCUCCCUCUGGAACUAGCGCUGACGAGGGCCCCCUGCAUCCGGCUCCGGCGGCGGGCACCCUCCUCGUCCCUCCCUCCGGUGAUUGCAUUGAGGGGAUCAGGAUCCUGCAUCCGGCGGCACCCCCUUCUCCCUCCCUCACCGACAGCGCGCCCCAAAUUUGCUCCCGCUGAAGGCAGUGGCGGCGAUGGAUCUAGGUGGUGAUGACCCUUCGAGCUUCGGCCUUCAUCCCCCACCCACAUCAAUGGAUCCCGUGAUGGAGCUGUUGAUGGAGUCUCCCAGUGAUGGAUCUAGAUGGGGAUGAAGAAGAUCCGUGCAAGAACACUGUGGUGUGAUCCUGGUGGGGAUGAGGAAGAUCCACGCAAGGAGGCUGAGAACUGCGACUACCUCUAGGGUAUGCACUUAUACUGAUCUACUUAUGCAUCAACCAAUUCCACUCUGCUCGUAUUGUCUGCUUCUAUCUCGAAAAUUGUAGUGUUAGAAUUAGAAUUCGUCUCUGCAAUCAUCUUGCAUUUGUGCCUCCAAUAGGCGUAGAGGGAUGCACACGAUUGCUUGAUGGAUCAAUGCUUGAUCCUUGUUUUCUCGUGAGGACAGAAAUAUCACAAUAUUAAAAAAAUCCUACGGGAGAAUUACUUGCAUUAUAAAUAAAUGGGACUAAUAUGCUAGCUUAGUAGGCAGGCCUUGAUAUGUUGCAGAUCGUCGAGUACAGUUGGUGUACAUCAUUUUUUCUAGCUAAAUAAGCUUUCCUUUUCUGAUCAUUCUACUGCAGCAGUAUUGUUCAAUUGAUACUCCCAUUGUCCCACAAGUUCCCCCAUUGUCGGAUUCCCAUUGAGAUGGUUCUACACUUAUCUACAUUCAUCUUGCAUACUUAUGUUCAGUUGAAUGAAAUUACUGAAACUUUGUGAUAAGGAAACCAUAUAUGAGAAUUUUCUAAUUGUUUGCUACGCACACUCAUGGACUUAAUAAUUGUAAAUUCAAGUACGAACUUGAUGCUACACAAUAUUCAUAAUAUUAGAUGAGCUCUGUCUUUCAUUGAGAUCUUAAUUGCCAGUCGACGGUUACAUUUGUGUGUGUCGGUGUAGCUAUUAUCCAGGAAACUCAUUCAGCAGUGCGUGCACUAGGCUUUUUGCCAGAAGAUGGUCAUGGUGUUUAUGUUGGUACAGGUGAGAUUCCCUUACAAAGUUGUAUAUGUAAUAUUAAAAACAGGACCUUCAUUACUGGUUGACCUAGGAGCUUAGCUUUGAACCAGAAACUGCUACAUGGCUGAGGAGAAUAAUAGAAGCACUGCAAUCAACUAAGGCUUAUGUUGAUGUGUUUUUUCACUGGUCUACAUCGAACCAGAUAGGCUGAAAUUCCAUGAACCAGGAACUCUUAAUGCAGAAUUGGAGUACUCUCAGAGACUGCUGAACCACAGAGCAUACUGACUACAGAAAAGGAAGUUGUUGCACCUGAUCAGACCAUGAAAGCAAAGAGUACAUCAGCUAGGAAUAUUUUUUCAAAAAAUAUUGCUGCUGCUGGAUCAACGAUGAAUUAUGUUAGUUCCGAUCAGCUAUUGAGAACUCGUAAUCAGAAAAAGAAUCAACAGAGAAACUUGGACAGCCAAAACAAUUAGAGAAAGCUUCUAUGGCUUGAUGUUGAUGGUCGACACCAACAAGAAUGACAAGUUACAAAGAUGCUUAUUUGUGGUGUAGCUAAUGGGCGAUGGAGCAACCAGCAAACUCAUUUUUAGAUUGAUUUAUUAUAUACUAAACAAUGUUGUAAACUUAGUUAAAUAUGGUGUCUUUAUUUUGUUAGCUGUGGUCACGUUCUUUUAAGCAGAAUUCUGGUCAUGUUACUUUGGUUUGAGAUAAUUUAAAUUAAUGAAUGUAUCAGUUAUUUUAUGUGAUC